GUCUCGUUUUGGAUUCACGGCAACAGUCUUGUUCUCGCCCUUCCGGGAAUCCAUCAUGUAGUUCUAGGGUUUGGAGAGAGAUUGGGUUGGAGAUGGGGCAGAAAAUGUUGAUCUAUAGCUUCAUGGCUCAGGCCAGGGUGAUCCUAGUGGAGUACACGGAGUUCACCGGAAAUUUCACUAGAAUCGCUGCCUAAUGCCUUAAGAAGCUCCCAUCUAGCAAUAACAAGUUCCUGUACAAUUGCUAUGGCCAUAGCUUCAAUUAUCUCGCCGAGAACGGAUUUUAUCCUCAUCUGCAGUCUUCAAGAGGACCAAAUCAAUGAACAUUAGACAGUAUUAAGGUAACUGGAAGCGAUUUUAUUUGUCCACAACUUAGGGAGAGCUAGCCAGCAUGUUGAUGCUCUUAGGGAGAUCUGCAAGCUCACUUUCCUUCCAUUAAAUCCUCGUUCAACAGAUGUUACAAAUGAUGCCUUUGAGAAUCUCUCUUCUAUGUUCAAGCAUGUGUUCCAGAUCUUCUCGAAGUUCCUCUAACUUGUCUGGACAAUGUGACUAACACCAAUGGAACACUUCGUUCCUUAAAGUCUAAGGUACCUGAUGCUUCUAGUGCUCAACAAACUCGGCUUGGGAAUAAUCAUUCUUCCAAAUCAAGUUAUCAAGAAAAUCCAAAUGCAUCAAGUUGUUCUUUUUAGAAGAAAUAGCCUUAUCAAGAACUCUUGGUUUGGUUGAGGCAAAUCCUUAUCGCUUUAUUUGGUUGUUAGACAUUAAAUGAAAUUAUUUUAUCUUUGCAUUAGAUUUGUAAUUGAGGCAAAAACUCUUGGUUGUCAAGAUUGAAUGGUAGUUUACUUUUGGACAUAUAUUUUGUAAACAUAUGUUUGUGAUGAUGAAAUAGCCUUUCUUUUGAAUUUUUAGUGGAAUGUUUGUGUUAGAUUUGGAAUUGAGGCAACAACUCUUGGUUAUCAAGAUUGAAUGGUAGU